rnacentral:rRNA from 1 species
UACGGAGGGUGCAAGCGUUAUCCGGAUUUACUGGGUUUAAAGGGUGCGUAGGUGGGUAGGCAAGUCAGUGGUGAAAUCUUCGGGCUUAACCCGGAAACUGCCAUUGAUACUAUUUAUCUUGAAUACUUUGGAGGUAAGCGGAAUAUGUCAUGUAGCGGUGAAAUGCUUAGAUAUGACAUAGAACACCAAUUGCGAAGGCAGCUUACUACACAGUUAUUGACACUGAGGCACGAAAGCGUGGGGAGCAAACAGG